AUCCCAUGCCGAACUCAGCAGUGAAACCGCUCAGCGCCGAUGGUAGUGUGGGGUCUCCCCAUGCGAGAGUAGGUCAUCGUCAGGC
rnacentral:rRNA from 1 species